GCUCAGUGGUAGAGUAAGUAUAUUAUGCUUGGCGUAAAUGAGACCUUGGUUUCAAUUCCUGGUAGCUAAUAAAUAGCUAGCUAGCUAAUGGGACAGUCUCCAAGCUUCCUGCAAUGUGGCUAGGAGCGACAGAGCUAUGUGAUCUGACAUGAUCUUCACCGUGGUUUGGAGAGCUCCUGUGGAACAAGAGUGAAAGCAGGCUAAAAAGAGAAGAGAUACAGAAGUGAUCUAUGGUGUAGAAAAAUCUCCAGGUCCAGACUGAAUGCAGAGCUGAACUCCAGGGUGGAGUGAGAGGAGGCGACACAGCAGUCUAUUCCGACAUUUGGAAAUGUUCUAGAGCAUGCUACAGCAAUCCGGAGGCAGAGACAUGAGGAUGUCUGUCAGUUCAAGACCAGCCUAGCCUACAUACCAAGUCCCAUGCCAGCCCCAAAAGAACACCUCCCUCCCAGACAAAACCAAAGUAAACAACAACACUCCAGAAAACCCAAAACCAACCAACCAAACAAACCCCACAAAUACUCAGCUGUCUCUCCUCAUCAUCCACCCCGAGAAGAGGAUCCUUUCUCUCAAUAAAUCAUAGUAGAGAAAGGUCCAUGUGGUUAUGUUUGACUAUCUGGACAAUCCAGGAUGCUCUCCCCACCUUAAUUUAAUCCAGUUUACAAGGUCUGUUUUGCCACAAAAGGUAACAUGGUGACAAUUUCCAGAGUUCAGGAUGCAGGCAUUUUAGGGGAGCCCUUUUUCCUCUGUAUCACAGUGCAUUUCUCUUUGCUUUAUAUUUAGUGAUGAAACUUCGAUGGGUUAAAAUUAGCCACAUUGAGAGUAUUUAGACACACACACACACACACACACACACACACCCUAGAAAAUGUUGCAAAUCAGGGUUUUACUCUCCUGGAAAAACUGCUGCUAAAUCUCUCUUGAAUACAUAACCUCUGGUUACAAUGGCAGGUGUAUUAUCAAACAAAGAAACAGGGAGACUGCCAUGAAUUCCAGGAGCUGCGGUAGUGAGUUUGAAAUUAGUCUAGGCCACACAGUGAGACCUUGUCUCAAAAAAGUUAAUGCAAUGGGCAGUGGUGGCACACAUAGUCAAGGCCAGCCUGAUCUAUAAAGUGAGUUCCAGGACAGCCAGGACUGUUAUACAAAGAUAGCCUGUCUUGAAACAAAACAAAUAGAACUUUUGGAGCUGGAGAGAUGGCUCAGAGCUUCCAGAGGUCCUGAGUUCAAUGCCCAGCAAGCACACAGCUCACAACCAUCUAUAAUAAGAUCUGAUGCCCUCUUCUGGCCUGCAGGCCAAUAUGCAGACAGAACACUGUAUGUAUAAUAAUUAGAUAGAUCUUUAAAAAAAUUAAGGAAGGAAUAGGAGAAUAUUAUACACUCCUUAGUACCCAGAUAAAAGCUGGACACAGGAUGUGUGUCAGUAAGCCCUGGGCUGAAUGUAAGCAGAUCACAGAGCUUAUUGAUCAGCCAGCCUCGCUGAGAUGGCAAAGCUCCAGGUUCAGUGAGAGACCCUGUGUUAGAGAAAGUGGAAGAGCUAGGGAGUGGCUCAGCAGUUGAGAGCACUGGCUCAGUUCCCAGCACCCCCAUGACAGGGAUCCAGUGCCCUCUUCUGGCAUCUGGCACCGAUGAAGUGCACCCACAUACAUGCAGGCAAAACACCCAUACACAUUCAAUAAUGAUAAAGUAAUUAAUAAGUAGGCAAAUAAAAUGGAGACUCCUGACAAACACCUGAAGGGGGGGGGAGAGACAGAAGGGGGAGGUAGGGAUUAAGAUUGAUUUGGUCCACACAUGAAAAACUCAGCUAUUGUCCCAACUAGAAGCUAUGUAGAAUGUGUUCUUCUUGAUUCAAUAUAAACACAAGGAUAUGCGCUACUGCGGGAUUGGGGUUUCUAGGACGUGGCCACACCUAUUUCAUGCCUUCCUUCUGUAUCCAUUGUAUGACCCCAGUGAACUGAGGUGUUGGAUGAAGACAAAGAGAAUAUAGAAUGUAUUCUGGAUAUGCAGUGAAAGUUACUGACUGAGGCCUUGAGAUCAGUCACUGGGAAAAUGUCUUGGUAUUUUACUUAAUAUUUACGUAUUGUACCUAACUUUCUCCUGCUUUCCUCCCCUUCCACAGGCCCAUAUAGCAGAUGUAGCAUGUUGGAGUAUCUUUAAAGUCCAUAGUGGACAGAGCAUGGGGGAGGGGUGUAGGGAGACUCAUAACCAUGCCUCCUAAGGAGUGGCUAUAGGUGUGCCCGACCACGCCCAUCAUGCUGUGGUCAAGGUGAUGUCAGGGUGACUCGGGAGAGGUUUUAAAGGGACAGACAAGGCACAUAGGAGCUCUCUUGCCUGGCUGCUUUGGCACGCUCUGGCUUGCUGUUGGCUGGUGUUUAUCUAUUCAAAGUUAUCCUAACCUUAAGGACUUCGUAUCAGUUAUUUAC
ensembl:lncRNA